CGGAUAUACAGUGUGUGUGUGUGUGUGUGUGUGUGUGUGUAUAUAUAUAUAUAUAUAUACACACACACACACUGUAUAUCCA